GGAAAAGUAUCUUUUCCUUGGCCUUAUAGAUGUUAACAAUUUACCUUAUUGUGUCUUAUGUAACAAAAGACUUUCAGAUAAGUUGUAGUUUCAUUUUGAGAUGAGAGUUUAAAGAAAAAGGAACUGAAUAUAUUAAAAAAUAGAUGUGAAAAGCUCUUUAAAGCCAAACAUUAUUCUAGCUUUUGAAAUCAGAAGUGAAAAAGCCACGGAAACACUUUACAGACUGAAUUAUUGUAUUGCAUUGGCUGGAGCAUACAAAAUACGAAUGAAGCUGUAUACAGAUGACAUCGCAAUACCUGCUGGAUGAAAAGUCAGUAAAAUAAAUUACGUAAGUUCAAUUUUCCACAUAUACAGUAACUUUUUAAAGAUUUAACUGAAAUCAUGAAGAUUGGGUUGAUAUCUCGUCUGCAGAAUUGUAAUUUUACCUUAAAAAAUGGGCAGGCCUACAGAUUUUGCUGGACUAGCUGUUUUGCCUACAUCUAUCUGGUAUCAGCACCAACUAAUCAUCAGAGAAGAUCUUUUAUUUGAAUGACAGGCAUUAAAUACAACUUCUGCUGAAAUAUCAAAGUGGUAAAUGAACUUUUUGAAUUUCAUAGUUUAUCUUGGAACACCUGCAUUGGCAUUUGCAUUGAUGGUGCAAAAGCAAUGGUGAGUAAAACUGCUAGCAUGAAUUAAGUCAAUGUAUUCUUCCUGCCACACUAAAAACCAUUAAUUUUAUGGAGUACAUGUCCUUUUAACAUUUUGUGUGACAAAUGGGAAAUACACGUAAAUUAAUUCUUCUGCAUACUAAAAUACGGUGUCUUCAGAAAAAGCACAUGUAAGUCUUUUGAGUUGCAAGCUCAAAUAGCUGCUUUUGUCAUAGCAAACCAUUUUUACUUGAAACGAUGACGGACAAACUAUGAUCAUUUAAGACAUUUUCUUGUACAGAAAUGAAGCCUAUUAAUGCAAGGAAAAUAACUGAACUAUUUGAUGCCAGUGAUAAAAACCAAACCAUAGCAAGGGUUGGAACAAGCUCCUCUGACUCCUCGGAGGCAUAUCUUAAGUUUGUGGAAGCUGAUGUUUAUACACUGGGGAAUUGCAGUGGUGGGCAGGAGUUGUUCAUAUCUA
rnacentral:lncRNA from 1 species